ACUCCAGGGAGACUGCCGGUGAUAAACCGGAGGAAGGUGGGGACGACGUCAAGUCAUCAUGGCCCUUACGAGUAGGGCUACACACGUGCUACAAUGGCGCAUACAGAGGGCGGCCAACUUGCGAAAGUGAGCGAAUCCCAAAAAGUGCGUCGUAGUCCGGAUUGGAGUCUGCAACUCGACUCCAUGAAGUCGGAAUCGCUAGUAAUCGUGGAUCAGAAUGCCACGGUGAAUACGUUCCCGGGCCUUGUACACACCGCCCGUCACACCAUGGGAGUGGGCUGCAAAAGAAGUGGGUAGUUUAACCUUCGGGAGGACGCUCACCACUUUGUGGUUCAUGACUGGGGUGAAGUCGUAACAAGGUAGCGCUAGGGGAACCUGGCGCUGGAUCACCUCCUUAUACGAUGAU
rnacentral:rRNA from 1 species